AACGCGAAGAACCUUACCAGCCCUUGACAUGUCCCGUAUGGGGCCGAGAGAUCGGCUCCUUCAGUUCGGCUGGCGGGAACACAGGUGCUGCAUGGCUGUCGUCAGCUCGUGUCGUGAGAUGUUGGGUUAAGUCCCGCAACGAGCGCAACCCUCACCUUCAGUUGCCAUCAGGUAAGGCUGGGCACUCUGAAGGAACUGCCGGUGACAAGCCGGAGGAAGGCGGGGAUGACGUCAAGUCCUCAUGGCCUUUAUGGGCUGGGCUACACACGUGCUACAAUGGCGGUGACAGAGGGAAGCGAAGGGGUGACCCUUGGCCAAUCUCAAAAAGCCGUCUCAGUUCGGAUUGUUCUCUGCAACUCGAGAGCAUGAAGCUGGAAUCGCUAGUAAUCGCGGAUCAGCACGCCGCGGUGAAUACGUUCCCGGGCCUUGUACCACCGGCUAC
rnacentral:rRNA from 1 species